CUGACAUUCUACCUUAACCAAGUUUUCAAGGGGGUAGGGGUGGGGGAAGAAGCACUUAAUUCAGGCUCAAUUUCUCAUGUAGAAGAAAAAAGAGUUUGGUUAACCUUUUACUCACAGCCAUGUUAAGGAGCUUGGUCUUCACCUUACAGGCCACACACACACACAAAAAAAAAAAAAACAAUAAAAGCAAACUUGCAAUUUAGAAAGAACAUUUUGGUAGCAAUAUGGAGCAUGGACAGAAGAGGAAGAGGAGGCUUGUAUUUUGAGAAACCAAUCAAGAAGUUGUUGCAAUAAUUCACGGGAUCAUAAACUAAGCAGAACCAAUGGAAAGAAAAUUGAAAGGACUUGAUGUUUAUAUGGGAGCUGAAAAAGGCCUAUGUCAAAGAAAAGCCACACUUCUGGCUCAAAGGCUAAGAAUUUAGUGACUUCAGUCACUGAAAUAGAAAAUAUGAACUGCCAAAAGUUUUAUUAAACAUAGAAAAGAAAAAAGCAAUUAUUUAGCACUUAUGAAGGAAAAACACGAAACAUUCUUUUUUUGUGUGUGUGCUUUUUAGGGCCACACCCACGGCAUAUGGAAGGACCCAGGCUAGGGGUCAAAUUGGAGCUAUAGUUGCCGGCCUACGUCACAGCCACAGCAAUACAGGAUCCAAGCCACGUCUACAACCUACACCAGAGCUCACUGCAAUGCCGGAUCCUUAACCCACUAAGGAAGGCCAGGGAUUGAACCUGCAAACCUCAUGGUUCCUAGUUGGAUUCGUUUCUACUAUACCACAAUGGGAACGCCACACAAAACAUUCUUGAUUUACUUAUGUUAUAUCUUUAUCCAGAAAGAAUGAUUAGUUUUCAACUUAGAGCUCUCUUAACAUGGAGGUUAGUGCUACGAAAUGCACUCACCUCAAUCAGAGUAUUUCAUAUCAGAACUGAGAGAAGUACUCUUUUUCUAUUCCACUGUUCACCUACAGAACAGAUCUCCCUAGGUCCAACUUAUUUGAUGUAGUCAUGUAGAGCUCCUCCCCUACCAUUAACAAAAUAAACAAUGAAUGUGAUGCUAAAGGGAAGAUCAUUUUUAGUUUCAUUCAUAUGCUUGUUCUCACCACAAAUCUUCUUUUCCUUUUGAACAAAACAUACAUUUUGCCCUUGAAAUCACCCUUAUAAGGUAUAGAUCUUACGACUAUGCUGAAGAGGUAGGUACAACUCCAACAGCAUUGAACUUCUAGAUCAUUACUUUAGUCACUUAGAUUAACACUUCCAAACCUUUUCUCCAUCAGGACAUACACAUAAUAUGGUCAAGUCUGCAAGAAAUACUAGAAUAAAUCAAAGAGGCCUGUUCAUGUCCCCUGUGGCAAUGCUACAACCCACUGGUUAGCAAGCUCUGCGCUGCAUUACCC
rnacentral:lncRNA from 1 species